AGAGUCAGAUCCAACCUUCUCAAUGGCCCUAACAACAUCCAUACCUUCAAUGACUUGACCAAACACGACAUGCUUACCGUCGAGCCACGACGUCUUCUCGGUACAGAUGAAAAACUGAGAUCCAUUGGUGUUGGCACCAGCGUUAGCCAUGGAGAGAAUACCUGGACCGGUGUGCUUCUUGGUGAAGUUCUCGUCCUUGAAUUUCAUGCCGUAGAUCGACUCGCCUCCGGUUCCGUUUCCUUUGGUGAAAUCUCCUCCCUGACACAUGAAUUUGGGGAUCACACGGUGGAAAGCUGAUCCCUUGUAGUGGAGUGGCUUCCCAGAUUUUCCCAUUCCUUUCUCGCCGGUGCAGAGAGCUCUGAAAUUCUCCGCCGUCUCUGGGGUUGUGUCGGCGUAAAGCUCCAUCACGAUUCGGCCGGCCGGUGAUCCGCCGACGGUCAUGUCGAAGAAAACUUUAGGGUUUGCCGCCAUCUUUUUGGAUCGGAGAUUUUUUUUUUGGAUCGGAGAAAAAUUUGUGUGAGUGUGUGUGAGAGAGAGAUUAGGGUUUUGGUUACGAUUGAUAUAUAGAGAGAGGAUCUAGUUCCAAGGGAAAGGAAUAUUUGAACGGAAAUAUUUUAGUGACCGUUGAUUUUGUACACGUGUUGUGAUCUGGAAGAGUUUAGGUUAACUGUGGUUAAGUUGAAAUCUGACUAGGGUUAAUAGUUGCGUGGAUCCGAGGCAGAGAAUAUUUUGUUUCUACUUUUUACUGGAUAGAGCUAGAAGCAUGAAUAGCGGCAUCAUAAGCUUAAAACGACAUCGUUCAUAAAUUAAGGCCUGGAAACAUUAAGGCCCAAUGUUAAAGUAAAAAGCCCAAUUUGUUUUUAUCAAAAAUCAGAAGCAACGACAGCUAAAUGGAAAGUAGAAAGUGGGGUGGUUUUAAAUCUACUACAAAGUCUACAAGCCUCCAAGGUAGUAAGAGAAAUGCAAAAUGAAAAAACAACCUUCAAAUUUCAAACUUGCAUCGUUAAUCAAAUGAUUAUUCUAUUUUUCUUUUCAAGUUCAUGAAUUUUGGAACUUAUUGUUGAGACAAUUCUUUUUAUAAGUAGAACUGUAGAAGAAAACAAGCAGUCACUGACCCAAAAAAAAAAAGAAGAAAAAAACAAGCAGUCAAGAUUCUCUGUGAAGUUACAAGUUACAAAGGAAGAAGGAUCUCUACCAAAAACUCUCUCUCUAUGUGUAACGUUAGUAGCGUUCGUGUGCUCUUGGUUUUACAAGUCCCCAAAGAUACAGACAAAAGCAUGUGAGAUUUGCUCUAAUCUACUUCUUCUUCUUUGACUUAUGACCGUACGAAGUGCCCUGCGUUGUAAAUCGAGAGCAAUGUAUCAAUUCCAAAACACUAAACAAAUGCAAAAACCCAUCAUGAAGAACUUAUUAGAUCUUGUCUAUGUAAGUACCUCAAGCCAUUCAUCAAGCGACGCAUCUUUAGUUGCAGUUCCAACUUCAACUUUUGAUGCUCUCUUUGUUUUCUGCGCACAGCAAAUGACCAGUUAGGCUUAUUAAUCAAAGUUAGUAACUAGAUUAGGGAUCGUUUUGCCUAAGAGAAAAGGCCACAACAUUAAGGAAUGUAUAUAAAGAGAAAUUUUCAUGUACCUUGGUCAAAUGCUUCAUAUUAUUUUGGAUAUAGAUGAUAAGAAGAGUGAUAACCAAAAGUAAAAGGCCACAAAGGAAGACUGACUCCAUCCUAAAGAGAGGACCGUCUUCAACAACUUCGAUGGUUCCAUUGUAAAACGUGCUUUGAUAUGGCUUACCAUCUAUCUCAUAGAUGAUGGUGCCAACUAGAUCAAAAGCACCCGCCUGCACGAGGAAUGUUUAGCUCAUUUACUUUUUAUUAACCAUGCACAAGAAAACACUACUCUUUUUGAAGUCGAAAAGACUCAUCAUGACUAGAAGAACUAUAUGAAUAACAAACAUACCUGUAGGAACUUGCUGACUGCAAAAGUGUAUGGGAAGGUAGCUUGAGCCGAAGUUGGCACAGAUGCGUUGCCAAAGCUCUACACAUAGAAGAUACGAUAACCACAUAAUUAAGUGGACACAUCUUGUAUUAUUCAGCAAAGGCAUUUUAAGUUUCUAAAUCUAGAAGUGAAGAAAUGGAAUAAAGUUACAGCAUACGAGCAUAGAGAGACAAUCAAAGAAAGUAGCUGAUUCAAAACAUACAUGAGCAAAGAUUAAAAAGCUAUAGAGACCCUUUUCUUGAAUUUUCUUGAAUUUUGUAACACGGAAGUAACAGGUUUAUGGUAUAGAUUGUGGAGUGACAUGAGAUGAGACAAAUCAGGCAAUGAGGAAAGAACCUAACAAAACCAAACUAGACUGAUUUGGACAGAUUUUAACAAGUGAUUCAGAGGCAGCAAAUGUGAGAAAUGAGAGGCAAGAUCAUUAAGUUACCAGAGCGGUGAGAUUCUGAACCAGAGGCUUCUGAUCAAAAGGAAGAUGCAAACUUCCUCUAACCGCAACGAUAUCAACAUUGGAUUGACCUAUUCAUAUGAUCCAACCAACAAAUUUAUAAACUUUUAACUAAAACUUCAAGUAAUCGAUUUCAACGUUUGAUGAGAAUCAAUUUCAUUAUUACCAUCAUUUUUCAUUCCAACAAGCAGCUCAGUUUCAUGUCCAGCUUUGAUUACUGCAGAUAUCAAACGGACCAAGAGAUUAGCACCCAAAAUUGGGAUAUGGGAAGAACAAGAACACUAAAUUAUUAGAAAUUAGAAUCAGAAACAGGAAAAACUCUCUACUUUUUGCACUGUUUUUGGGAAAAACGCAAAGGGUUUCAAUCCCAGGAGCUGAGGUAAGCUCCAAGCCAAACACUUCCUCUGCAUCACUCUCUUCUUCUCCAGAAUCGGAAACUUCAAACCCAGAAUCUUCCGAAUUCGACUGGCACAAAGCAGCUAGAGCAAAAAAACCAUAAAGCAAAAAUCAAAAUAGAAUCAGCGAUAAUCAGUAGAUCUAUGUUCGAUAAUAGAGGAUCAGAUAAAGGUGUUUAAACCUUGGUAGAAAGGUGAAGCAAGAAGAAGAAAAGCGAGGAGGAGGAGUCUAAUAACACUCGUCGACUUCAUAUUGGGUUUUUGAGAAUUAGUUCGAGUUUGAUCGUCGUGCUCUGAAAGUAAAGAUGGCGAAGAAAGCAAGAAGACAAGAAAGGAGUUUCGGUCUUUGACGUUCUUUAUGCUUCUUCACAGGCGUUGACGGUGGCGUAGAAUAACAACACAUGGUCCUGUUAAAAGUAAUCAUGAAACGACAACGUGAAGUUUUAUGCUUAAAAGUUUGGAGACCCAUUUUAAGAAGGUGGCCGAUAAUAAUGUCUUAGCUCGUCGUUGCAUAUUGUAGUGGGCGAACAACGUUUUAAGCAUUAAGUUUGUUAAUGGUUAAACAUUUUAAGCAUUAAGUUUUUAAGGCCCUGUUCGUUUGAGCAGUUGAUAUUUGCAGACUAAUCCAUCCAAAUGAUAUUCAGUCAUGUUCGUUUAAGCAGUUGAUAUUUGCAAUCAAAUAAUUUAUCUGGAUGAUUCAUCUGAUUGAUCUAUCUAAAUGAUGUUCGGUCCUGUUCGUUUAAGCAGUUGAUAUUUGCAAUCAGAUGAUUCAUCUGGAUGAUUCAUCUGAUUGAUCCAUUCGAAUGAUAUUUCUUUCAUUAAUAAAAUUUAAUGAUUUAUUCAACUGAUUCAUUUGACUGAUCUAUCUGGACGAAUUUUUGUUUGUUUGAUCAUUUCAUAUCUCCAUCUAAAUAAAAAAAUAACUAAAAUACCCAUAUUUUCAUCUAAUUAUAUUUUCAGUGUAAUAUUAACUAUGUUAUUAUUAAUUCUUAAUAUAAAUAAUGUUUUACAACCAAAUAAUUUUCAGAUGACUAUUUUAAACAUUUUUCUAAAAAAAAUAUUUAGAAAAUAAAAGUUUUGUUUAUAAAAAUAUUUAUAACAAUUGAUUAAAAAAUAAUUAAUUUAGUGAUUGAUUCAUACCCAAUAAAGACAUUUAAAACAUAUAUUUUCUCAUUGGUGAAGCAAACUACAAUAUCUUCUUCUUAAAUUAUAAUUUUAUCAUACAAAAUCAUUAUCAAAUUGAAAAAACAUAUCAUAUUAUGUUUAGAAAGGUACAAAACAAAGUUUUUUUAGAAAAACAUAAUCCUUAAACCACCAAUUCUCCCUUCUAUUCACCAGAACUUACAAAUAAAAACAAAGAAUUUUUUUUAUUAGAAGGAGAAUUCAAAUAGAACACAAAAGAAAGACAAAGAUCAUAACUGAUAACUGAAAAAAAAUAUAACAAGAUAAGAUAACUCAUUCACAUUCACUCAUUCACAAAUAAAAAUCAUAACUGAUAACUGAAAAAAAUAUAACAAGAUAAGGUAAUUCAUUCUCAUACACUCAAAAAUAAACCUGUUUCUCAUACACAAAAUAAAAAUAAGAUAAUAGAGUUCAAAAGAAACAUAGACAUGAAAAAACAUGAAUCAUCCUCGUGCAUUCCAAGAGUUCAAAAGAAACAUAGACAUGAAAAAACAUGAAUCAUCCUCAUGCAUUCCUGUUUUCAAAAGAACAAUUGAAAGACACUAGAUACUAGAGUUCGAAACAUAGUUCAUAAUAAGCAUAAAUCAUCCUCAUGCAUCCCUGUUUAUACCAGUUACAAAUUCCAAGUACAUAACUUUGUUCUCAUCAUCUUCAUAAAAAAAGGAAAAACAAUAAACUUUUUUUUUAUGAUACAAGCACGAAGAGGAAGCAGAAUCCAAUCAAGCAUAAAAAGCUAUUUUUUUAAUGACAAGACUACAAAUCUGUCUUAGUAAUAUCAAUUGCACAACCAAAACAGAACAAGUGGCAUUGAUAAUCCAAUAUCUCAAUAUCAUCGAUAUUGUACAAAAAUCAAUCUCUAACGAAUCAGGGUCCGAAUGGUGACAGCGUUUUUGGCUAUGUGAAAAAACGGUUUAAGAGUGUGGUACGGUUCAACUGCGGUACAUGCGGGAAAAUAUAUUUGCGGGACAACUGCGAUUUGUAUAUAAUAAGCGGUAUGAAAUAAUGUUUGAUUGGUAAAAAUACAGUUUACGGUCCAUAUUAAAAUGUUUGAAUGGUGAACAAGAUAACAAGCGGUACACAUUAUAAAUUAUAAAUCAUAAAUAUAUAUAAAUAAUUAAUAUUAUUGUCAUUAAAUUAUUUAUUUCGUAUUGAUAAAGAAAUAUUUUCAAUACAUUUAUAAACUUUCAAUUAUAAAUUUAUUUUAAAAUAACAUUUUUUUUUUACAUAUAUAUUACAUAUAUUACUUAUAAAUGAAUGUAAAAUAUAUUUGAAAAAACUUGUCAUUAAAAGUAUGAAAAAAUAUAUUUUAACCAAAUUAAUAUUAAAAGUAUAAAAAAUUAUUUAUUUUAAAUUUUAUAAACUAAUUCUUACAUAAAAACUUACUUAAUUUUUUAAAAAGGGAAGAAAUAAUGUUCUACUUCUUUUAUGUGUUCUACAAUGUAUUAGAUAUAUCUUAUUUAUAUGUAUUGUAUUUUAUUAUUAAAAAAUAAGUUUUUUUCAAAAAAAAAAGUUAUGUGCGUUUUUAUCCGCCCGCUGAGUAAUAACCGUUGGAUAAUUUUGAGUGCGUUUCAUUAUUUGCUGACAUUUUUUAACUGUUUUGAAAUUCGCAAAUGAGCUUUUUUUUUUCUUUAAAAAACGCACUUUCCUACAAAUUUUGGUUGAUUGGUGUUAUAAUAGCGGUUUUGAAAUUACCACUUCAAAUACCUUACCGCACUGCCCUAGUCACCAUUCACUGCCUCAACAUUGAAUACGAUGAAUCAAAUACGAAUCAAAACAUAGAUCCUAUAAGCACAACGAGAGAAUACAAACAUAUUCAUAAAAACAAAAAUAAAGAGAGAUUCAAACCUGCUAUUAGCAAACUGAAGAGAGAUUGAAGAAGAGAUCGAGAGAGAAGAAAGCUUGAAAAGAAACAAGACUAAAAACUCCUCGGAUCUGCGCCAAGUAUCAAAACCCAGAAAUUAAAACCCAGAAAUAACCCAUGAUUCAUAUCUCUCAAGAACCAUGAGACAAAAACCAGAGAUAGACAUAGAAGAUGCUGCAUUUGGAUCAAAUUCUAAGGCUCAAGAAAGCAGAGCAAGACUCUAAUCACGAAUUAGAUAUGAAAAUCUGUGGAUCCAUGCUUGCUACAUCAUGUUUACUAAGACACAUACGUAAGACACAUAUGGGAAAACCAAUCAGGAACAAAAAAAUAUUGAAGACCCUUGAAUUAUCAAAGAUGAACGAAUUAUCAAAGCUAAUGGCAGCAGAAAGAUGAACGAAUUAUCAAAGCUACAAGUGUACAUUGAAGACCAUUGAGUCACGAGAACAAGAAGAGACAAGAACCUGGAUUUUGUAAUUGCUCAGCAAACCCGAUGCAGGCGAGUUGAAAGUCGCUGAAACGUGUAAUGAGGUACUGCAUCACCACAUAACCAAAAGAAAGGGUCAAUGGUUAGCUAUAACUUUCUCGCUUAAGAGCCAAACACAAUUGCCAAAAGAGCUUUAGAAAGAGAGAAAAUGUGUUCAGUUCAAAGAAAAAUAUCCAAAAGGCACCAUUCAUCCACAAUCACUCAUCACAGAAAGGCAUGUUAAGAAGACAUUAUGGUGUUCAUAUACGUCUUUUUUCUUACUAUAACCAGAUCAUAUUCAUUGUUAUAAUGGGACCCAAGACCUAAAACAAACUUCGUUAACCAUCAGCCAUAACACUGAUUUGAUCCGUUCAAGUCUAUGUACUUUUUACCAAUCCCUAACAUGACUUUACUGUCAUCUCAAACAACAAAAGCCACUUCUCACAUCAAUCAAGAUUCAAAAACCAACCUAGAUCAAAGACACUCAUGUUGGUAAAGAACAGUUUUAGUACAACUAGCCCGACCAGAUGGUAACCAAACCCGAAAGUCUUAGACUCAUAUAUUACUACCAUUGUUGGAAGGAGAAAGAAAGCUUAAAUCUUCACCACAAAGACCGCAUUUUCGACAAGACAUCAAACCGGUUAAUUGAAUGUUCCAUCUAGCUUAGUGACCGUGUCAAUGAUACUUAAAGAUCCAAAGAUCACAACAUAAACAAUCUAAACUACUCUUCAAAUUCACUAUCAGAUUCUAAGUCAAUAUCAGAAACCAUAUAAAGAGAGAAUCAAAAAACAACAAGAAGUGAGCAGAACAAGCAGCAAACAUAGAUUAUCCUCUGUGACACAGCAAACAAAGCUAACAGCAAAGUUAUCACUAACUAGCAAAUCACAAACGAAGCUAAUCUCAAUGAUGUUCUAAGCUGUUUGGUAGUUUAGAGAAGAAAACUUGGAAUUCUAAACCAAACCUAGAAAGAUAUUACCUCAGCAGAGAGAGAAAACUGUAAAACCUCACACAAAGAGACUUAUAGAAUGUAGCACACAAAUGUUCUAUGAACUAUACUCUUUAUUAGAAAUCACUUAAACAAUCUUUACAGACUUGUUUAAUCUGAAUUACACGACAAAGCACAUUGCUUCUCGAUACUGACCAAUUCCUAAUCUACCCAAGUAGUCUCUAACACACUUGUGUUACACUUUGAAUUCACUCACCAAGAACCCUAGAUUUUUCUCUCAAAGCUUGUAGUGAAUAUUUUUCUCAUGAACGGCCGACCUUUUCGUGCGGCCUUCACUCCAAUAUAUAUCACAUCUCAUAAAGAGCAUGUGAAUAUACACUUUCCAGGAUGUUAAGAUCUUCAAGAUCUUUCACACCAACCUCCAAAGAUACUCCUUGAUAUACACGGGACUUUCCUUCAGAAUUCCCACCAAUAGUUGCCACGUCAUUCUUCUUCAAAUAAUCCAGCUCAGCACUCCCAUAUUCCCUGUACUCUUGACUUUCUUCACGUCUCUCUGUGUAACACACGACCUUUCUUGUGAUGAUAGUUAAGCUCCAUUUUCUUGAAUUUACAUUCUCCCCUUUUUGUCCGAAUAUGAGAACUCAAGCUUUCUAUAACAACUAAAGCUUUGACAGAUAGCCCAAACAAAUAUCCAGAAAAGUAGACAGAACAGUGUAAGCCAUCUCAUUCAAAUUGCAACACUCAUUUCAUGUUUUACACACGAAGGAAACAAAACAGAAAGACCGAUAAUGAGUAGUCUGAGUCAACCCGACACAAAAAGCCAAAAAAAAAAAAAAAACUGAUCACUACAAUGUCCUGUCACGGAACCGAUAUCUUCAUUCAUCUUCAUUCGGUUCCCCCUCAACCUCAGAACCUCCAGGACCAUAUUCUCCCCCUACUUAAGUGCAUAUUCAGAUAAAAGUACAUAUAAACCAAAUCGGAGCAGAAAUACCAAGGAAGAAGAACUUACCUCGAAGACGAAUCUAAAUUUGCUUAAGCCAAUGACACAGCUGUUCCAGAUCAGCUUCCAAGGAUGGAAGAGAAGAAGAAUAAUCCUCACUAGAUCUAUUCCCAGCCUUAGAGUCAAGAGUGAUCUUUAUCGGGAAACCACAAAGCUCAGAAUCGGUAGUGAGAUGAGGAACCUCAUGCUGGAAUUUCAGGAGCUGAUAGAUGAGGUUCAGAAAAGGCAGCUUGCGAUUCACAUAGUCAGGUGUACGAGCAGUCAUCACAAUUUGAUCGUAAAUCAGGUGUCCCAGAUUGAACCGCUUUCCUUUGAUCACAAAGGCGAGCAACUUGAUCUGUUCCUUGACCAUAGUCGUAUGAUUUGAGGUCGGCAUCCAGGAUGUAUAACACAACUUGUAAAGGACUCCAUAGUCAGGAUGGAGGUGUUUGGAGGCAAAACCUUCCCAACGAGUUUUACGUCCACUAGAGACAAUGCGAACAGCGGCGUCAAUGCUCAUGUUUUCCAAACCACCAGACGGAAGAGAUGUUGGGAAAGAACAGAUGCACAAUGGCACAGCGGAAUAUAGUUCUUCCCACACUUGUGUGAACCUAUGAGAAAAAUAUAGAAGCAAUGGCAGAAAGUAAAAUGACACAGCAAAUUUUACGUGGAAAACCUCCUCAAUUUGAGGAGUAAAAACCACGGGACCGUAGUCCACUCAAAAAUCCACUAUCACCAAUGAAUAUGAGUUACAACCACGUCCACCAAAGACUAAGGCUCCAAAAAGCAAUCUCCAAUACAACAACACAACCACAAGAGAGCAAAACAGAGCUUAGAAAUAAGCAGAUCCAAAUGACUAUAAGUUUACUAGGAUUCCGGCCACCAAAUCAAAUCUCCACCGUACAAACCCUAGAUAAACAAGUCAAAAACACCUCUAAAAACUUUCAGCUCAAACCGAGAAGAACUCACCGUCGGAUUUCCCAAACACUCAAGACAGCACCUAUUGAAAUCUGAACUCGCCACUGAUGCGAACAGCCACGCUAAAACUCAGAUAACUCCCUAACCAACCGUUGGAACACAAAUCCCUUCGGUGAGCCUCAAGAACACUGAGUCACGAAGCUUCCCUCAAAAUUUCAGCCAGAUCGGAGCACUGCAAAGCCUCCAAACGUUACCCUGAACAGAACCUGACGAAAACUGUGUAUCUUCCUCUCUGGUCUGCGAAAAUCACUCUCUCUUGUCUCAAUGACUCUUAACAGCCACUUAUAUACAGGUUAAGAGAAGCUAUUAAACUCCCACAUAACUCUAAGCCCAAUAAUAAUCUCAUGGAUUAAAAUAUGGCCCAGGUUUGGUUCUCUUUUAACCAAACUUAAUUGGUUUCCCCACUAGGAGGAAAACCAACAAACUCCCCCUCCGACUAGGUGGAGGAAACAGCCAUCCCGGCUAUCUCCCGACAAACUUCAAGCUUCCCUCUCGGCAAUGAUUUCGUCAUCAUAUCAGCUCCAUUAUCAUUCGUAUGAACUUUCGAAAGUUCCAUUUCUUUAGAAGCAACCACUUCACGUAUCCAAUGAUACCUCCUAUCAAUGUGCUUCAAACGCGAAUGAAAUGUGGAGUUCUUUCCGAGACAAAUAGCACUUUGACUAUCACAAAGCAACACAUACUUAUCUUGCUUGAAACCAAUCUCCUCAAGAAAAUGCUUCAUCCACAACAAUUCUUUACAAGUUUCCGUUGCGGCGAUAAACUCUGCUUCAGUGGUAGAAAGAGCAACACACUUUUGUAACUGUGAUUGCCAUGCCACAGCUCCCCCUGCAAAUGUUACCAAGUAACCCGAAGUAGACUUCCUGGAAUCAAUAUCUCCAGACAUAUCAGAAUCUGUAUAACUAAUCAGUAAUGGCUUAUCUCCUCCAAAGGUAAGUUUCAAACUAGAAGUCCCACGAAGAUAUCUCAAAAUCCACUUCACAGCAUUCCAAUGUUCUCAUCCAGGAUUAGAAAGAAAACGACUAACUGUACCAACAGCGUGAGCCAAAUCUGGUCUAGUACAGACCAUCGCAUACAUCAAACUACCAACUGCAGAGGCAUAUGGAACCCGUGCCAUAUCUUUCUUCUCUGAAUCUGUACUCGGACUUUGUUGACGACUCAAUCUAAAGUGUGAAGCAAGAGGAGUGCUAACAACUUUAGACUUGUCCAUGUGAAACCUCUGAAGCACCUUCUCAAUAUACUUCUCUUGAGACAAGUGAAUCAACCUUUCACCUCUAUCUCUGAUAAUUCUUAUACCAAGAAUCUGUUUCGCUGGACCCAUAUCUUUCAUGGCAAAGGACUUGCUAAGCUGCUUCUUCAACUCUUGAAUUCUGCUCAAGUUUCCAGUGAUGAUGGGAGGUUAGUUUGGUUCUUUCCAGUAAGUAGUAGUUCAUCACCAAACACUUGCAAGAACACACAGUGAUCAGAAGUAGUCUCCUUAUAACCAUGCUCCCCCAUAACCGAAUUAAACUUCAUCUGUCUCGGUGCCUGUUUCAAUCCAUAAAGGCUUUUCUUCAAGCGACAAACCAAGUUCUCUUUGCCCUUUUUCACAAAGCCUUCCAGUUGUACCAUGUAAAAUUCUUCCUCCAAAUCACCAUGAAGAAAAGUCGUUUUUACAUCCAUUUGCUCAACCUCUAGAUCAAGACUCGCUGCCAAUCCAAGUACAACCCGAAUGGAUGACAUCUUCACAACAGGAGAAAAGAAUUCAUCAUAAUCAACUCCCUUCUUUUGGCUGAAUCCUUUCACAACCAAUCUCGCCUUGUAUCGAGGCUGCAAACUAUUAUCUUCAUACUUAAUCCGAUACACCCAUUUAUUAAGCAAUGCCUUCUUACCCUUAGGCAACUUCACCAAAUCAAAUGUGUCAUUCUCAUCAAAAGACACCAUCUCAUCUCCCAUGGCGUUUAACCAUUUAUCCUUGUGCUCAUCUUCCAUAGCUUCCUCAAAGCUUUCAGGUUCUCCCCCAUCAGUAAGCAGCACAUACUCACUAGGAUCAUACCUUGUUGAUGGCGACCUCUCAGAUCUUCUAACAACAGGUGGGUUCUCGAUAGUUGGUGUUUCAUCAUGAUCGUCACCAUGAUCACCAUUACCAUCAUCAUCAUCAUGUGCGGGAGCAUCUGCACCAGGUGUAUCAGCAUUAAUCUCACCUUCAACUUGACCACCAACCGAUGUAGAAGGAGUAGCCUCUGAAUCAAUCAAACUCUCAAAACUCUGGGCUGAUUUUCCUGACUUAUCAAUGUCCUUGAUCUUUUGAUCUUCCAUGAACACAACAUCUCUGCUUCUAAUAAGCUUCUUCUCAACGGGAUCAUAAAACCUGUACCCAAACUCAUCCUGACCAUAAUCAAUGAACACACAUUGUCACGACUUCAUCUCAAGUUUCGACCUCUCAUCUUUCGGAAUAUGAACAAAUGCCUUGCACCCAAAGACCCUCAAAUGACCAUAGGAAACAUCCUUACCGGUCCAAACCCUCUCUGGAAUAUCACCCUCCAAAGGAGCAAUUGGUGACAAAUUAAGCACAUGAACAACUGAACUCAAAGCUUCACCCCAGAAAGUCAUCGAUAAGCCUGACUGUGAAAUCAAACAUCUAACCCUCUCGACAAUUGUCCUGUUCAUCCUCUCAGCCAAACCAUUCAACUGUGGAGUCUUAGGCGGCGUCUUCUGAUGCCUAAUACCAUGUUCCUUGCAAUAAGCAUCAAACGGUCCAGAUUACUCACCACCAUUAUCACUGCGGAUACACUUCAACUUCUUUCCCGUCUGUCUCUCAACCAAUGCCACAAAAUGCUUGAAAUAUUCCAAAACCUGAUCCUUAGUCUUCAUAGUAUAAACCCACAGCUUCCUAGAAUGAUCAUCAAUGAAUGUCACAAAAUAUGAUGCACCACCAAGAGAUUUCGUCUUCAUUGGACCACAAAUAUCUGAAUGCACCAGAUCAAGUAUCUCGGAUUUUCUAGAAGGUGUAUAAGACCUGAAAGAGACUCUGUGCUGUUUUCCUGCAAAACAAUGCUCACACUUCUGCAAAUGUAAACCGGAGAUACCUGAAAUAGCCUCCUUCUUCGAUAACACAGACAAUCCUUUCUCACUCAUGUGACCGAGUCUCUUAUGCCACAACUCCAUGGCAUCAUCAUUCUCCACUGCAUUAACAAUGUCUUUGGAGACCUUAGCCUGCAUCCAAUAGAAAGACGAAGACUUAUCACCUCGAGUCACAACCAUAGAUCCUCGUGAAAGUUUCUAUUUAUCCCCUCCGAAUAAACUAUAAAAACCUUCAUCAUCAAGUCUUCCUGUAGAGAUCAGAUUCAACCGAAUAUCUGGGACAUGCUUAACUCCCUUAAGCACAAGUCUAGUACUAAUACUAGUCUCCAAGCAAAUAUCACCAAUGCCAACAACUUUAGCCAGACCAUCAUUAUCCAUCUUUACAGAACCAAAACUACCUGGAGUAUAGGUAGAGAACAAAUCCUGCUGCGAUGUAGCGUGAGUAGUAGCUCUACUAUCUACAACCCAACUAGUAUCCUGGCAUGCAAUAUUAAUGGCAUCACUCUCAAGGAGAAUAAGAAACUGAUCCUCAGUGACUGUCACCCGAUCUUCACCAUCUCCUUGUUUGCUGUCCUUUUUCAACUUCCAGCAAUUCUUCUUCAAGUGCCCUUUCUUAUGACAGUAAUGGCACUCUAUAUUUGCAUACUUGUUAGACUUGCUUCUGCUCAUGUUCCUGUCCUUCUUGGGCUCUCUCUUUGUUCUCCUCCCCCUCGACUCAGAAACCAAUACAUCUGAACGCAAAGAACUAGCAUUUGAUUGCCUCCUUGCUUCCUCAUUCAAGACACUGUUUUUCACUAAGUCCAUCGAAAUAGCACCAUCCGACGUGGAGUUACACAAAGACAUCCUAAACACUUACCAAGAAUCUGGUAAUGUACCAAGAAGCCAUAAACCGUGAAUCUCAUCUUCAAACUUGAUUCCCAUGUCAGAAAGUUUGUUGAUCAAUCCCUGAAAUGCAUUCAAGUGAUCUGUCAUAGGAGUUCCAUCCUCAUAUCUCAGCUCAAUCAACUUCUUGAUCAUGGCCAUCUUAUUAUUCCCGGUCUUCGAGCAUAUAAUUGCUCCAGCUUCAACCACAAAGAGCGAGCAUCAGUCUCAUUCUCAAUAUGAUGCAACACAUGAUCAUCAACCCACUGCCUUAUGGAACCACACACUUGGCGAUGCAACAACUUCUACUCAGCAUCGGUUUUACUAUCAGGCUUUGUCUCCUCAAAAACAGGAAGGAGAUUCUUUGACAAAAAGUAAAUCUUCCAUCUUGCCCUUCCAUAGAUGAUAAUUAGCACCAUUCAAACUUAUCAUUCUGCCCAUAUUUUCCAUCGCUCACACAAGCAAACCAAAAACUCUCGAACCUGGCUCUGAUACCACUCUGUUGGGAAAGAACAGAUGCAAAAUGGCACAGCGGAAUAUAGUUCUUCCCACACUUGUGUGAACCUAUGAGAAAAAUAUAAAAGCAAUGGCAGAAAGUAAAAUGACACAGCAAAUUUUACGUGGAAAACCUCCUCAAUGUGAGGAGUAAAAACCACGGGACCGUAGUCCACUUAAAAAUCCACUAUCACCAAUGAAUAUGAGUUACAACCACGUCCACCAAAGACUAAGGCUCCAAAGAGCAAUCUCCAAUACAACAACACAACCACAAGAGAGCAAAACAGAGCUUAGAAAUAAGCAGAUCCAAACGACUCUAAGUUUACUAGGAUUCCGGCAACCAAAUCGAAUCUCCACCGUACAAACCCUAGAUAAACGAGUCAACAACACCUCUGCAAAAUGUUAGCUCAAACCGAGAAGAACUCACCGUCGGAUUUCCCAAACACUCAAGACAGCACCUACUGAAAUCUGAACUCGCCACUGAUGCGAACAGCCACGCUAAAACCCAGAUAACUCCCUAACCAACCGUUGGAACACAAAUCCCUUCGGUGAGCCUCAAGAACACUGAGUCACGAAGCUUCCCUCAAAAUUUCAGCCAGAUCGGAGCACUGCAAAGCCUCCAAACGUUACCCUGAACAGAACCUGACGAAAACUGUGUAUCUUCCUCUCUGGUCUGUGAAAAUCACUCUCUCUUGUCUCAAUGACUCUUAACAACCACUUAUAUACAGGUUAAGAGAAGCUAUUAAACUCCCACAUAACUCUAAUUCCAAUAAUAAUCUCAUGGAUUAAAAUAUGGCCCAGGUUUGGUUCUUUUUUAACCAAACCCAAUUGGUUUCCCCACUAGGAGGAAAACCAACAAGAGAUUCAUCAAUGAGAAACAGGCGGUUAAUGAUAUUUAGAGUGAAUUCAUACAUCUCACCACAAAUAUACAGAAGGUUGACCCCAUUCCUAUAUUCCAAGUCCGAAACAGACACAUAAAACUCAUGGACCACAUUAGGACAAUAGGGAUCAACAUCAAUCACCGUAUAAGUCAGACUAGCUCGAUCAAGCAACUUCCAAACAUUGUCCAACUUGGGAUCCUCAAGAGGGAGAUACUUCUAAUCAAUGAAAGGGCGGAAGCGAAAGAAGUCAUACCUAUCGUGAGCUGCUUCAGAAAGAAAACUGCAAACUGGUAUGGUGAGAGGACAGGUGAGUUUGAGAUGCAUGCGGUCAUGGGCAAAUUUAGUACGGCAAUUUGCUGCAUACCGAGCUUCCUGGUCUUCAUAUGAAAGACCUUCUCACGGAUCCUCAAAGCCAUCAACCAUAUCAGCAUCAGCAUCAGAGAUUUGUCAUCAGAUCCGGCAAUCGGGUUUGUGAACAUGUCACGGGGGUCUGAAAAUGCAGCUUGCAGGGACCCAGAACUACUGCUGUCGGAACUGUCAUCAUCAGGAAUCAGCACAAGUUCUUUGUCGGAGCGAUGAUUCGCUUUCAGCAUCUGUGUGCGUCGACGGAUAGCGGAAUCAAGAGUCUCAGAGUCUUCCGGUUCACGACGCGAGGCAGCGAUAGAGGCUGACAUGAGCUUGGCAGACUGUUGACGAGUAUGUCGAGACAUGGUGAAAGGAAGAAACUUUUGAGCUCAAAGGGAAGAAGAGGUGAGUGGCACACAAUUAGGGUUUCAUAGCACAUGAAACGUCAUCUGGUCCUUAUAAACAAGCGGGAACCCUACACUCAUGAGCUUAAAACACGAACUGUUAGCUGAACAAGGGCAAUGGGCCGAAAGCCCAAGAGCAACAUCCAUAAAAAAAAAAAACGAUGUGUGACACAGGAAAUUUCAACGUAGAAAUACACAACUAAACAAAGACAUCAACUCAUCAUCCAAAAGAGAACUAAGAGAGGACCCCAUGAAAAUCAAUAAACCUGUACACAGAAAACACCAUAAACAGCUUAUGCAAUGCAGACAGACAAAAGAAACAACAUAACCUCACUGAGAAACAUGUGGGGAUAAGAGGGACGAUUACCAGGUGAACUGACACGUAUCCGGAGAACUGAAAAAACACAAAACACGUUUGAAGAUUAAACUUAUGAACACAGCGAAGCAGCAGAACUUUUGCCAAAGCGCUUUCACAUCACUGAUUCAGUCGAAUCAAGACCUGAAGGUCUCACCAUUAUGUCAUGAAAUCAAUUGCCUUUGGGAGAGCUCUUGUCACAGUCAUCUUACAGUGUCCUAUUCUACAUCAGACGAGAGUGAUCACACCAGGAUGUACUCAGAAGAUCAGCCUCAGUUGUUCCUCACACUGACUUACUCUCUUAGUCUCACUUGUAGCAGCAAAAGCAACCACUUUCUGUUUUGCCUUUUCAUCAGCACUGGCUUCCAAUUCUUCGGCUUUGAGCAUGCCUACCAAGGUGUCAAACUUCAUAUCAUCCAAGUCUAUUGAGUAUUUGACAACUGUUUUCUGAGCAGCAUACUUUGGGGGAAGACAUCUGAGAAGUUUCUUUACAAGUUUCUUAUCCUUGUACUUCUUCCCAAGAACUAGAGCCUCAUUAGCAAGGAUACUGAUUUUGGUAUUGCAUCUUUCUCCAUCUUGAGAUUUUCAAACUGAGAUGCAAGGUGAUCAAUCCGAGGUCUCUUCACACUUGUAUCCCUUUCAAAAUGACUUAUCAAAAUGUCCCAUGCUUUUUUUGCUGAAGUGCAUCCUUGAAUCAAACUGAACUCAUUUAGUUCGACUGCAUCAAAGAUUGCAUUGA
rnacentral:lncRNA from 1 species